GAUCAGUUGUCUAAGGUCUUGUUCUCUUCAGUCUUGGUUGGUUUAUGAUUUAAUCAGUCUCAUAGAACCAGUAGACGAACUGAUAAGAAUUAUGGGAAUUAAACCGAACUGAUUUGAUCUUGUUUAGAACUGAAUUGAGCUGAGUAUGUUCUGAUCUGAUCUGAGCCGAGCUGUCUACGGUCUGAAAUUGUCUUGAACUGAUGUCGUCUGAGUAUAACCGAGUUAAGCUGUUGGGAACUGAUUAGAACCGGAGUUAGCUGAGCAUGAACUAAGCUGAUAUGAAC
rnacentral:lncRNA from 1 species